rnacentral:rRNA from 1 species
AGAAUCAACGCUGGCGGCGUGCCUAACACAUGCAAGUCGAACGCGAAAGCCCCGCAAGGGGUAAGUAGAGUGGCAAACGGGUGGGUAACACGUGGGUGACCUGCCUUCGAGUGGGGGAUAACGUCCCGAAAGGGACGCUAAUACCGCAUGACAUCCUGCUUUUGGAAAAGCGGAGAUCAAAGCUGGGGAUCGCAAGACCUGGCGCUUGGAGAGGGGCCCGCGCCUGAUUAGCUAGUUGGUAGGGUAACGGCCUACCAAGGCAACGAUCAGUA